rnacentral:rRNA from 1 species
AGUGAACGCUGGCGGUAGGCCUAACACAUGCAAGUCGAACGGCAGCACAGUAAGAGCUUGCUCUUACGGGUGGCGAGUGGCGGACGGGUGAGGAAUACAUCGGAAUCUACUUUUUCGUGGGGGAUAACGUAGGGAAACUUACGCUAAUACCGCAUACGACCUACGGGUGAAAGCAGGGGAUCUUCGGACCUUGCGCGAUUGAAUGAGCCGAUGUCGGAUUAGCUAGUUGGCGGGGUAAAGGCCCACCAAGGCGACGAUCCGUAGCUGGUCUGAGAGGAUGACCAGCACACCUGGAAUGAAGACACGCGCCGGACCCCUACGGGGGGCAGGAGUGGGAAAUGUGGGACAAGGGGGGAAACCCUGACCACGCCAUACCGCGUGGGGAAAGAAGGCCUUCGGUGUGAAAACCCCUUUUGUGUGGAAAAAAAACAAGCAGUUUAAACCCCCGUGUUUGGGGGGGACCCAAAAAAAAAACCGCCGGCAACCUUUG